CCUACGGGAGGCAGCAGUGAGGAAUAUUGGUCAAUGGACGAGAGUCUGAACCAGCCAAGUAGCGUGAAGGAUGACUGCCCUAUGGGUUGUAAACUUCUUUUAUAUGGGAAUAAAAUGUUCCACGUGUGGGGUUUUGUAUGUACCAUAUGAAUAAGGAUCGGCUAACUCCGUGCCAGCAGCCGCGGUAAUACGGAGGAUCCGAGCGUUAUCCGGAUUUAUUGGGUUUAAAGGGAGCGUAGGCGGAGUGUUAAGUCAGUUGUGAAAGUUUGCGGCUCAACCGUAAAAUUGCAGUUGAAACUGGGAGUCUUGAGUACAGUAGAGGUAGGCGGAAUGCGUGGUGUAGCGGUGAAAUGCUUAGAUAUCACGAAGAACUCCGAUUGCGAAGGCAGCUUACUGGACUGCAACUGACGCUGAUGCUCGAAAGUGUGGGUAUCAAACAGGAUUAGAUACCCGAGUAGUC
rnacentral:rRNA from 1 species